rnacentral:tRNA from 2 species
GGGCAGGUAGCUCAAUGGUAGAGCAGAUGGCAAUAUCCUUACAUCUUUGAUUCACUCCUUGCCUGAAAAGGCUGAAGAAUUGAGGGUUAUCGACUUUUAAACCAUAGUGAUGCAGGUUCGAGUCCUGCCCUGCCCC